AGACCCGAAACCCGGUGAUCUAGCCAUGGGCAGGUUGAAGGUUGGGUAACACUAACUGGAGGACCGAACCGACUAAUGUUGAAAAAUUAGCGGAUGACCUGUGGCUGGGGGUGAAAGGCCAAUCAAACCGGGAGAUAGCUGGUUCUCCCCGAAAGCUAUUUAGGUAGCGCCUCGUGAAUUCAUCUCCGGGGGUAGAGCACUGUUUCGGCUAGGGGGCCAUCCCGGCUUACCAACCCGAUGCAAACUGCGAAUACCGGAGAAUGUUAUCACGGGAGACACACGGCGGGUGCUAACGUCCGUCGUGAAGAGGGAAACAACCCAGACCGCCAGCUAAGGUCCCAAAGUCAUGGUUAAGUGGGAAACGAUGUGGGAAGGCCCAGACAGCCAGGAUGUUGGCUUAGAAGCAGCCAUCAUUUAAAGAAAGCGUAAUAGCUCACUGGUCGAGUCGGCCUGCGCGGAAGAUGUAACGGGGCUAAACCAUGCACCGAAGCUGCGGCAGCGACACUGUGUGUUGUUGGGUAGGGGAGCGUUCUGUAAGCCUGUGAAGGUGUGUCGUGAGGCAUGCUGGAGGUAUCAGAAGUGCGAAUGCUGACAUAAGUAACGAUAAAGCGGGUGAAAAGCCCGCUCGCCGGAAGACCAAGGGUUCCUGUCCAACGUUAAUCGGGGCAGGGUGAGUCGACCCCUAAGGCGAGGCCGAAAGGCGUAGUCGAUGGGAAACGGGUUAAUAUUCCCGUACUUGGUGUUACUGCGAAGGGGGGACGGAGAAGGCUAUGUUGGCCGGGCGACGGUUGUCCCGGUUUAAGCGUGUAGGUGUGUGUUCCAGGUAAAUCCGGUUCACUUUAACACUGAGGCGUGACGACGAGGCACUACGGUGCUGAAGCAACAAAUGCCCUGCUUCCAGGAAAAGCCUCUAAGCAUCAGGUAACAUCAAAUCGUACCCCAAACCGACACAGGUGGUCAGGUAGAGAAUACCAAGGCGCUUGAGAGAACUCGGGUGAAGGAACUAGGCAAAAUGGUGCCGUAACUUCGGGAGAAGGCACGCUGACACGUAGGUGAAGUGAUUUACUCAUGGAGCUGAAGUCAGUCGAAGAUACCAGCUGGCUGCAACUGUUUAUUAAAAACACAGCACUGUGCAAACACGAAAGUGGACGUAUACGGUGUGACGCCUGCCCGGUGCCGGAAGGUUAAUUGAUGGGGUCAGCGCAAGCGAAGCUCCUGAUCGAAGCCCCGGUAAACGGCGGCCGUAACUAUAACGGUCCUAAGGUAGCGAAAUUCCUUGUCGGGUAAGUUCCGACCUGCACGAAUGGCGUAAUGAUGGCCAGGCUGUCUCCACCCGAGACUCAGUGAAAUUGAACUCGCUGUGAAGAUGCAGUGUACCCGCGGCAAGACGGAAAGACCCCGUGAACCUUUACUAUAGCUUGACACUGAACAUUGAGCCUUGAUGUGUAGGAUAGGUGGGAGGCUUUGAAGUGUGGACGCCAGUCUGCAUGGAGCCGACCUUGAAAUACCACCCUUUAAUGUUUGAUGUUCUAACGUGGACCCGUUACCCGGGUUGCGGACAGUGUCUGGUGGGUAGUUUGACUGGGGCGGUCUCCUCCUAAAGAGUAACGGAGGAGCACGAAGGUUGGCUAAUCCUGGUCGGACAUCA
rnacentral:rRNA from 2 species